rnacentral:rRNA from 1 species
UACAGGGGGUGCGAGCGUUGUUCGGAAUUACUGGGCGUAAAGCGCACGUAGGCUGAUAGUUAAGUGAGGGGUGAAAUCCCGAGGCUCAACCUCGGAACUGCCUUUCAUACUGGCUGUCUCGAGUCCGGAAGAGGUUAGUGGAAUUCCUAGUGUAGAGGUGAAAUUCGUAGAUAUUAGGAAGAACACCAGUGGCGAAGGCGGCUAACUGGUCCGGUACUGACGCUGAGGUGCGAAAGCGUGGGGAGCAAACAGG